CGAACGCUGGCGGCAUGCCUAACACAUGCACGUCGAACGAAGGCUUCGGCCUUAGUGGCGCACGGGUGCGUAACGCGUGGGAAUCUGCCCUUUGGUUCGGAAUAACAGCUGGAAACGGCUGCUAAUACCGGAUGAUGACGAAAGUCCAAAGAUUUAUCGCCAGAGGAUGAGCCCGCGUUGGAUUAGGUAGUUGGUGGGGUAAAGGCCUACCAAGCCGACGAUCCAUAGCUGGUCUGAGAGGAUGAUCAGCCACACUGGGACUGAGACACGGCCCAGACUCCUACGGGAGGCAGCAGUGGGGAAUAUUGGACAAUGGGCGCAAGCCUGAUCCAGCAAUGCCGCGUGAGUGAUGAAGGCCCUAGGGUUGUAAAGCUCUUUUACCCGGGAAGAUAAUGACUGUACCGGGAGAAUAAGCCCCGGCUAACUCCGUG
rnacentral:rRNA from 1 species